rnacentral:rRNA from 1 species
AACGUAGGACGCAAGCGUUAUCCGGAAUUACUGGGCGUAAAGCGCGUGUAGGCGGGUUGUUAAGUUCGGCGUGAAAGCUCCCGGCUAAACUGGGAGAGGUCGUCGGAUACUGGCAGUCUAGAGUACGGUAGAGGGAUGUGGAAUUCCGGGUGUAGUGGUGAAAUGCGUAGAGAUCCGGAGGAACACCAGUGGCGAAGGCGGCAUCCUGGACCGUAACUGACGCUGAGACGCGAAAGCAUGGGUAGCGAACGGG